UUUGUGCUCCACGCCUUUCAUAUCAACCACAACAAUCCCCCAAACCUCCCAGCAGUCUUUUGUAGUAUUUUCUGCAGGAAAAACACAGCUUGACUCAGCCAACAGAAAUCAGUGCUCGGCCUCCAGAGUACAUCAUACAAGAAAAGCUCAGGGAAUAAAGAGAGGAGUCUGACCAAAGCAUGUACAGUGUUUCACAGGUGAUGAGCCGACAGGCCGUAGAAAGAGAACAUCCAUGUCCUGUCUGAUCAGACCGAAGCUGGUUGAGAGGCGUCUUUUCUGUUACAAUGCCUCAACAAAUAGGAGAACUAGGGCACGUGUUUGUUUUAAAACACCUUUUUUUCAAGCAUGUUCUAGCAUGUUUCCAGGUCUAAUUUAUUCAGAUAAAACACAGUAAAGUCAUACUUUCUAAAAAAAAAUCAGAACAAAAGGUAUAACAUUGAAAUACUCAACAAAAUGCUUGCAAUAGCUAAAAAAUUACAUGAAUUUUACUUUUAUUUGUUUAAUUUACUCAACACUGCACCUCCAUUUGCUGAUUCCCACAGACUCUGGCUCCAUUAACAUACAACAGUCUUCUUGUAAUUUCGCAUCACUUUUGUACAACAUCAGUUACCAUCCAACUUUAUGUGCAGCUAAUGAUUUUGAAAGGAAUCUGUCUGAACCAGUUUUAUUCGCAGAGGAUCAAAUCAUAUAAGAAAAGCCUCAGUGCACCAAAGUUUUAAAAUGUUAUUGAAUCAAAACUGCAAACAACAACUUUCCUCCUCUGAAAUGAAGGUUUAUGAAGUGUGUUUUUCUUUACGAGAGAGAUGUGUGUUUAUUUGACGGGGGAAAACAGAGCGUCUGUGCAGAUGUAAGACGUCAAGUAUUGAAUGUAAAAGUGACAUAUUGGCUGAGAACAGCGUGGUUUGAGAAGCUUUUUCAUAGACUUGGCUGGUGUGUUUGUGCAUGCACGAGUGUGAAACACAAGAGAGAUGAAACUGUUCUUGGGUAAUUGGGUUUAUUGAAAUGUGUGCUCAUUAGAUAACACUCUUUAGAUUCUAUGUCCACAAAGCUCUGAGAUAUAUAUCUGAAUGCUAUCUCAAUGUCACCUCAUUUAUAUUUAUAGAUUACAUCCUCUUGAUUUCCUUUAAGUCUCCAGAAGCCAACUCUGUAAGGAGCAAUCGUCCCAACCUUGAACUCUGUGUCUCCUCUCCAAAGAGCAACUCUGCUGUUGUGUAAGAGUUUGUAUCUGUCUUACUUUACAUGUACAAGAUGUGUUUUUCCAUAGGAGUCUAUAGUGUAUGUAAAGACUGUGUAGACAGACUUUAGCUGUAAUUAUGACUGUGGUCUAAAGGGAAAAGGGGAGCAGAAGAGGCAAUAGUUUGAUGUUAUGGAGCCACAAAGUGGUCAUAGGGAGGGGAAAUGUCAGAAUGUGACAUUAGGGGAUGGCUGUUUACCUCCCUUUCUCACCACAGUCCACAUAGCCUGGGAUUAAGCAGCUCCCAUGAUUGGUUUGUCAAUUUAUAACCUGAGAUUUCUCUCUUAAUUAAAUAUCGAAAUCUAAAUAUUUAACAAAUAAGUGAAUUUUAUAGUGUCUGAGUAAAGAAACCACUGAUUAAAGUGCAGUGCUCUGAAGUAUCUAACGGGCCUGGAUUUAGAGAAAAAAAUCACAAACAACAUCUAUCACCCAGGAGGGGAUCAUUUGGAGGGGGAUGAGGUAGACGGGAUGUUUGGUUUCCUCUGAUCUGAACCAACAGUGAAAAGUUUUUAUGGCGCAGGUGUAUAAAUUUAACAUUUGAUUUAUACCUUGUCCCACUGAAUGGCAGUAGACUUGGCAGUGGCCGUAACAAUGGCUUGUGCGUAAUACGCGAAUUUUGCAGAUGUCCAAUUUGUCAAUAUCUUCGAACUCAAUUUGGCUGAUACUGAUAAAGAGGGUGAUACCAAUAUCAAUCAUGGAUGGCAAUAUUAUGCAGAUAGAAAUUUUGUGAAUCUUUGUGAAAAAAUGAAUCUUAUACAUAUAUGUUUUGUUUUUUCAUUAGCUGCAAUUUAGUCAUUGAAAUGAAAAAAAUAAACACUUGAAAUAUAUCGGUCUGUGUGUGAUAAAUCUAGAUAAUAAAUGCGUUUCACUUUUUUUAACUUAAAGGUGGGGUAAGCAGAAUUUCAUUGAAAAAAGCAUGGGGUUUUUUUUGUGGUGUAUAGACAAAAAAGCUUUUAAUAUCAGUCAAUAGCUAUUAGUUAUUGAUGACAUUUGGGAAUAUAACAAUAUCGCUGUGUUCUCUUGUGUCUGUGUAGUCAACAUUUUAAAGUUUUUGAGUGCCCCGCUCUUUCUGACUGUAAACAAAGCCGUUCUCCGCCUCCCCCAACCUGAUUGGUUGUGAGGCGGACGCUGCUCUCUCAUGUUAUGAGGCAUGCUCCACGUCCUCGAAUGACGUGCAGGAGCCUAAACAAAGUUAGUGUGCUAUAAUAACAGACAGUAGAAACCAACCAGAAAGUACAAAAAAUUGUCUGAAUCCUCCUUUGGCCAGGACUGCCAACACAAGCAAGAAAACGAAGUAAAUACCUGAGACUCUGGCGGAAUAACGGGCCCCUACCCCACCUUUAACCUCUGCUAUAAAUCAACUUUUUGAUGAUAUCCUAAUUUAUUGAGAAGCACCAGCAUCAGAAAUUUAUCAUUCAUUCAAAGGCGUUGUGGACAGCAGUGAUUCUAAACACUCUUUUAAUAUCUUGUUUUUAUAUUGUCUUUUUGUGAGUCAGGUCAUUGUGGGAUUUUCCUGUUAAGCUGUGGGCAAUUUUCCACAUUUCUCUCAAUAAAUUUCUCUCAUACAUUUCAACAACAGCACUGAAUUAUGGCUGCUUACACCUGAGCAGCAGUAAAACUACUCUGUGCUGGGUCAGACAUUAUGGUUUGACUGAAUGAUGCCUCCUCAUUUCGUUGCAUACCACUUGAAGUUUCAGACAAGCCCUGUGUUAAAAUUUCCAAUUAUUAUUUUCAUUAUUAUUAUUUAAUAUGUCACAUGUUGUUUUGGUGUCUGCACAAAACAGCGACUGCGACUCGUUUUGUUGUCCAGAAAUGAAGGUAAUCCCCGGAGCUUUUUCAGACAGCUGGUGCCACUUCAAGUAACAAACCACAAAGCAUCUUUUUAUUUUUCUAUUUUUGCUUUAACAGAGUAGAGAAAAUUCUAGAUUUACUCCAACCGUGCACUACUUUAAUGAGAAACUGGAAUGAUUAGCUGGCAUUAGGUCUGAAGGAGCCCAUGAGCAGCAGCGAGACUGUACCGCACAGGUAGAAACUGAACAUGAUGAUAACACCUGGAGAGCGAACAGAGGGAGGGAGAGAGAGAAAAAGAAAAGCAGGAGGGAAGAAAAACUCUCACAGCAGGCUCUUUGCUGUCCCUGGCAUAUUAUGCAGUGAAACCUUGAUACUAACUACACAUUAGAGUCAUUAAAACCUGGGUUUUUAGUGACUAAUGAUUGAUUUUAAAAGUGGAGUCUGCAGGAUUGUUGGUCAUUUGUUAUGCUGAUAAAUUUAGCUCCUCCAUAUCAUCUCACAAUUCCACGCACUAGUGGCAAAGAGUCACCUUUCUGCUGUGUUAUUGUAUAUAGAGCAGUUAAUGCGAGGAUGUAGACUUUACAAAGGGAUUUUCUAAGUCACUUCGAAGUUUACAGAGGUGGAGGUGAAAGAAGACAAAGAAGGUGAUGCAAUGUCAGCCACCAAGCGCUCUGUGCAGGGAAGGAGAAAUGCUGCAGCAGUUUUAAAGGAGAUGUUUGUAAUGCACGUUGAAUUUAUACCCCAACUAUCAACUGGGAGACCAAUAUUAGACUUAGCUAAAUCACUGAUACAUGAGAGUACAAACAUGCUAAAUUAAGAUAACCGGCAGAGAUCAGACAGUUAAACAGUGACCUUGUUAGCUAGCUCUGAAUUUAAAAUUACAAAUAUAUUCUGCACGAACAGCUUUCACUACGUCUCCAACUCUCAGUUUACACCGUUGGGUACCUGGAACUGUGUGUUAAACUGAAAAAAAUCCAUAGCUCAAACUCUGAACGACCUGAAACAUAAAGUUAUUAUGUGUAUUAGUCGGACUUAGCAUGUACCUAAACUGCUUGUACCUGAACCAAAAGCUGCCUGAGAAUCUUAUAAACCUGUGUUAUAAUGCAAAAGCUGAUUUAGCAUGUUAACUCUUUCAAAGCCAUUCAAAAGUUCACCCUUAUCUUGAUGCUUUACGAAACAGAGUAGAAGCCUUAAAGAGCAUGAGGACCUUUAACAUCAAUCAUUACUGUAAUCAGUGCUGCCUGUCAAGUAGCCAACAUGACUUCAUCGCAUCUAUUAUGUUGGCCAUUAUUGAUGCUGUCAGUGAGCAGGACCCUGAUUGGAAUAUAUUUGAAGGGGGGUUUCAAAGUUCGGAGGUAAAGUGGUUUAUGCUGUAGUAAAAGUAAACUUUUUUUACUUGAAGAUUGGUGUGCUAAUCUCAAUAUAAGGGAUAAGAGAGGAAGUACAAAAUAAACUCAAGGCAGACUUAUAAUUACAUCCAAGCCUGCAAGUCCAUUAGAAUUCCAAGUCAAGUUUUGUCAGAUUGGACUGAAUUUAAAUCACUCUCUUUUGAAGCUGUGCCUCACAGGAAAUGGACUUGAUAUGUGUUUCAAAUAAAUAUAACUCUGCUUAUGAAUUUCUUCUGCACUUAGAUAGAAGAACAUCCAGUUAUCUGUGGAAAAUUGAGAAAUGCAAUUGCAGAAAAGACUCAGAUUAAAGGGUAAGACCUUUUUCACUCAAGUGCUUGAAAAAGAAGCACAAGUAAGCUCAAGUUUGCAACAGUGAGCUGCAGCAUAAUGAAGUCAUGAUAAUAAAGGUGCUUCUCUUUAGAGCAAGUGGAUCAUUUAAUAAUGUCAAUUUUGAUAUUGAUUCUUCUAAUUGUCAUUAAUUAGUUAAGCCAGAGCAUAAAGGAAAUUACAAUCGCUAAGUGUUGCAACCACCAUGUUUUGUUUUUCUCCACUGGAGUUAGUACCUGCACCACCACUCCAAGCCAGUAGGGGUCAACACAAGAGGCUUUCCCUUCCACUUGCAGCUUUGCAGAUUGUAUUUUUGACUUACCAUAGGCCCAAGAGCUUACAAAACAUGCUUGCAAGUCAAAGAUUAAAUAUAAAUUGCAAAACUCAAGUUUUAAGACCAUUGCCAUUAAAGCUCACUAACUGACUUUGGUUAUUUAAUUUAGUAUCCCCAGUGCAGGGAAAGUGCAGAAUACAUUAAAUGCAUUUUAUACUGCCAUUAGUAGAAGAUGCAAGAGUCAAGAAAACUUCCACUUUGAACAAAACUAACAUGCUUGGUCUUCAAGUUUGCUGGCAGCAAUUAAACAUGAGUAUAUGGAAAAUAAACUGCUCAACUCAAGAACAGAAUAUUAGGCAAAUGGCAACCAGCAGCCAACAUCACCAGAGCUCAUUCAGGUAUGAGCUGCUACACCUCAUCCACCUUUUAGGGAGUAGAAGAAAAGCUUUGGUCAAGACUCUGUUGUCAUCUGUACUGAUUUCUACAUCUGUACAAUAAAGACGCCCAGGCUGUUCUUCAGAUCUCAUCCUGUCUCCUGUGCACUGUUUUACUGAGUUUAUGCUGAUUUUCCACUACAACAUAACGUGUUCCUGCUUAGUGAUAAAGGCCACAACAACACAAUACACAGAAACCCCAACAGGAAAAGUUUUUUCAAAGAAGGGAUUGGGUAGUUUCUCCCCCCCAGCAAUGGAUCAAAAGAUAAGAGGUGUCACAUUAAAUAUCUUCCCCCGUCUUGGAGAAAAAUGACCAUCUCAGCAUUGGUUUAAAUUCCUUUAGUGUGACUCAGAUUCGUCUUCCUUACUACAGCACUUUCCUGGUGGUGCUCUAUAAAAAAUAUAAGUUGUGUGGCAUACUAAUUUCUCUCUUUCUUGUCCUAAAAGACUUCCUUUUCUGGCACAUUUGGGGGGAGGGGCGUUGUUGAUUGAGCAGAAAUAAAAGAGUUUUUAAGUGUGAAAACAACAUUUGAUACUGAAACAAAAUCAAUCUUUUCAAGCUUUUUUGAUAAGUUAAAUUUCAACCACAUCCAAGUCAUAAGAGUAAAUAUAAAAAUAACAAAAAAAGAGUCUGUUUCAUUGUACAGAUAUGUAGCCUACAAAUAUGAGAAUAGCUAGUCAGCUAGUUCACUUGGAACGCAGUGAUGCAGAGUUAACUUUAUGCCAUCACAAAAAGCUAAGAAGUUUUCCUCAACAUCAGCUCCAUAAACCCCAGGAGAGGAUUACUUAUUGAACUUUUUAAUACAAAUUAAACAAAUUUGAGAAAAAAGUUAAUGGUGGCGUUUCUCUGUAAGACUUCACAUAAGCUUAUCCCCCCUACCCUCCAGUUAGCUGAGCGUGGAGUGAAGCUUGGCUAACUAGCUGUUGAAGAAACCGUAUUAUGUUUCACAUGUACACAACAAAGGUGUCAAUCUUCUCUAAUUCCAGGUAAUAUAACAAAUUACGUUAAUUUCCCAAAAUGUUGAACUAUUCCUUUAUCUAAGGCGAACCC